GACGAACGCUGGCGGCGUGCUUAACACAUGCAAGUCGAACGGAGCUAUUUAUUUCGGUAAAUCGCUUAGUGGCAAACGGGUGAGUAACGCGUAGGCAACCUGCCCUCAGGAUGGGGACAACGGCUCGAAAGAGCCGCUAAUACCGAAUGACGUAACUCUUCCACAUGGAAGAGAUACUAAAGAUGGGUCAAACCAUCGCCUAAGGAUGGGCCUGCGUCUGAUUAGCCAGUUGGUGAGGUAACGGCUCACCAAAGCGACGAUCAGUAGCCGGUCUGAGAGGAUGAACGGCCACAAUGGGACUGAGACACGGCCCAUACUCCUACGGGAGGCAGCAGUGGGGAAUCUUCCGCAAUGGGCGAAAGCCUGACGGAGCAACGCCGCGUGAGUGAAGAAGGUCUUCGGAUCGUAAAGCUCUGUUGUCGGGGACGAAAGGAAAGGGGAGGCAAUGCCCUUUUCAAGACGG
rnacentral:rRNA from 1 species